GCGAGUAUAGCUCAGUGGUAGAGCACGUGCGUAGCACACACGAGGUCCUGGGUUCAAUCCCCAGUCCCUCCA
rnacentral:tRNA from 1 species